AUUCAGACUAUGUUCGGCUGCAUGCUUAAUCAGAACUUCCUGUUUCUGACCAGAAAGAAGAUCGUGAUGCAACUGGCAGCAGCUAACAACCAGGUCAUGUACAGUUGGCCUACGAGGCGCUGAUCCGGUUCCUGAGGACAUCGUCUAACCAGGAAUCGAUUGCAGCAGAGCUCUCCGGGGCCGGUCUCCAACAUUUCAACUUUCAACGGCUAUUACAGGAACAGCUUUACACCUGAGACACAGCUGAUGGCACUCUUCAGCAUGUGGGACCUGGAUGUGUGGGAGCCUGCAGCAGAGCUGUAUUUUACAGUGCUUGUUGAUCAGCUGACAGAACUUUUAGUAGUUCUGUUUUCUCAGCCCCUGGAGCUCUACGACGACCCAGAAGCCUUGGUCACUGCAGUUACCCGACUCAUCAGGCAGCAUGUCCAGCUGAUGAUGAACACUUUGGAGAAGCUUUGAGCUAUGUAGUCCCUUAACCCUACACCUCCCCAUUCCCUGCCAUCCCUCACCCCAAACACACACACAUAC